rnacentral:rRNA from 1 species
UACAGAGGGUGCAAGCGUUAAUCGGAAUUACUGGGCGUAAAGCGUGCGUAGACGGUUAUGUAAGUCAGAUGUGAAAGCCCCGGGCUCAACCUGGGAAUUGCAUUUGAGACUGCAUAGCUAGGGUGCGGAAGAGGGAAGCGGAAUUUCCGGUGUAGCGGUGAAAUGCGUAGAUAUCGGAAGGAACACCAGUGGCGAAAGCGGCUUCCUGGUCCAGCACCGACGUUCAGGCACGAAAGCGUGGGGAG